UCCCUUGUGGUCCAGUGGUUCGGACUCCAUGCUUUCACUGUUGACGGCCCAGGUUCAAUUCCUGGUUGGGGAA
rnacentral:tRNA from 1 species